rnacentral:rRNA from 1 species
AUACAUGCAAGUCGAACGAACUUCCGUUAAUUGAUUAUGACGUGCUUGCACUGAAUGAGAUUUUAACACGAAGUGAGUGGCGGACGGGUGAGUAACACGUGGGUAACCUGCCCAGAAGCAGGGGAUAACACCUGGAAACAGAUGCUAAUACCGUAUAACAGAGAAAACCGCCUGGUUUUCUUUUAAAAGAUGGCUCUGCUAUCACUUCUGGAUGGACCCGCGGCGCAUUAGCUAGUUGGUGAGGUAACGGCUCACCAAGGCGAUGAUGCGUAGCCGACCUGAGAGGGUAAUCGGCCACAUUGGGACUGAGACACGGCCCAGACUCCUACGGGAGGCAGCAGUAGGGAAUCUUCCACAAUGGACGCAAGUCUGAUGGAGCAACGCCGCGUGAGUGAAGAAGGGUUUCGGCUCGUAAAGCUCUGUUGUUAAAGAAGAACGUGGGUGAGAGUAACUGUUCACCCAGUGACGGUAUUUAACCAGAAAGCCACGGCUAACUACGUGCCAGCAGCCGCGGUAAUACGUAGGUGGCAAGCGUUAUCCGGAUUUAUUGGGCGUAAAGCGAGCGCAGGCGGUCUUUUAAGUCUAAUGUGAAAGCCUUCGGCUCAACCGAAGAAGUGCAUUGGAAACUGGGAGACUUGAGUGCAGAAGAGGACAGUGGAACUCCAUGUGUAGCGGUGAAAUGCGUAGAUAUAUGGAAGAACACCAGUGGCGAAGGCGGCUGUCUGGUCUGUAACUGACGCUGAGGCUCGAAAGCAUGGGUAGCGAACAGGAUUAGAUACCCUGGUAGUCCAUGCCGUAAACGAUGAUUACUAAGUGUUGGAGGGUUUCCGCCCUUCAGUGCUGCAGCUAACGCAUUAAGGA